rnacentral:rRNA from 1 species
UCCGGUGGCGAUAGCGGCGGGGAUCCACCCGUUCCCAUUCCGAACACGGAAGUUAAGCCCGUCAGCGCCGAUGGUACUUGGGGUGCAGACCCCCGGGAGAGUAGGACACCGCCGGGC